CCCCUAUCACCUAAAUGGAGGCAUGCUAUAGAAAAACGGAUGGAUGAUGAGAGGAAAUUGACAAUGGCUGCGGUGGAUAAUGGAGCGAAACCGAAGUCUGGACAAUUCUGGAAUCUUUCCGGAACAUUUCUGUUCUGCGUCUACGCUAUGACUGCUCUCGGUCUCGGUGCUCCAGUACCGCACACAAUUUGGGGUAGAACAUGCGCAGCACUUUAUGGGUUAUUGGCUGUGCCCACACACAUUUAUCUAAUGGUAAACGCAAGUACUUGUGUCGUGGUAAAUGUGGAGGCGUGUUUACAGUAUCUGAGAAAACGAAAUCAAAGGGCGUUUUUGGAUGAAA